UACGAAGGGGGCUAGCGUUGCUCGGAAUUACUGGGCGUAAAGCGCACGUAGGCGGCUCUUUAAGUCGGGGGUGAAAUCCUGGAGCUCAACUCCAGAACUGCCUUCGAUACUGAAGAGCUCGAGUCCGGGAGAGGUGAGUGGAACUGCGAGCGUAGAGGUGAAAUUCGUAGAUAUUCGCAAGAACACCAGUGGCGAAGGCGGCUCACUGGCCCGGUACUGACGCUGAGGUGCGAAAGCGUGGGGAGCAAACAGG
rnacentral:rRNA from 1 species